CUGAAUCUAGGAAUACUUCUUGAUUCAGAAAGACGAAAAUCUGAUACAAGUCCAGCCAUGUCACCUCUCAGAAUCUCUCUCAUCCAGGAUAUGAGGCAUAUCCAGAACAUUAGUGAGAUCAAAACAGAUGUUGGCAAGGCCAGAGCCUGGGUUCGCCUCUCUAUGGAAAAGAAGUUGCUUUCUAGGCAUCUGAAACAGUUGCUUUCAGAUCAUGAACUCACAAA